CCUACGGGAGGCAGCAGUGGGGAAUAUUGCACAAUGGGCGGAAGCCUGAUGCAGCGACGCCGCGUGGGGGAUGACGGCCUUCGGGUUGUAAACUCCUUUCGACCGCGAGGAAGCCGCCUGGUUGGAAGGGUGGUGACGGUAGUGGUAGAAGAAGCACCGGCUAACUACGUGC
rnacentral:rRNA from 1 species